rnacentral:rRNA from 1 species
GAGUACGUGAAACCGCCCAGAGGUAAACGGGUGGAUCCGCAAAGUCGGCCUGCGAAAUUCAGCUCGGCGCGCGGCCUGGGACAGCUGCGGUUCGGGAUCCCUGGGACCCGUCCGCUGGCGUCGUGCCGGGCUCCGCCGAGUGCACUUUCCGCGGGCAGAGCGCCACAACCGGUUUCGCGNGCGGCGAGAAGCCGGGCGGGAAGGUAGGUCUGGGCGGCAACGUUGAGACUGUUACAGCCCGUCCUGGCGCGCCGCUCCGGGAUCGAGGGACUACCGCACGCUUCGAGGCUACC